rnacentral:rRNA from 1 species
ACUCCUACGGGAGGCAGCAGUGGGGAAUAUUGCACAAUGGGCGCAAGCCUGAUGCAGCCAUGCCGCGUGUGUGAAGAAGGCCUUCGGGUUGUAAAGCACUUUCAGUUGUGAGGAAGGUGGUGUCGUUAAUAGCGGCAUCAUUUGACGUUAGCAACAGAAGAAGCACCGGCUAACUCCGUGCCAGCAGCCGCGGUAAUACGGAGGGUGCGAGCGUUAAUCGGAAUUACUGGGCGUAAAGCGCGCGUAGGUGGCUUGAUAAGCCGGUUGUGAAAGCCCCGGGCUCAACCUGGGAACGGCAUCCGGAACUGUCAAGCUAGAGUGCAGGAGAGGAAGGUAGAAUUCCCGGUGUAGCGGUGAAAUGCGUAGAGAUCGGGAGGAAUACCAGUGGCGAAGGCGGCCUUCUGGACUGACACUGACACUGAGGUGCGAAAGCGUGGGUAGCAAACAGGAUUAGAUACCCUGGUAGGCUCUG